rnacentral:Y_RNA from 1 species
UGCUGGUCUAAUGGCAAUGGGUUAUCAGAACUUAUCAACAUUAGUGUCACUUAAGUUGGUAGACAGCCCCCGACUGCUAAAUUUAACUGGCUUGAU